UUUAAUAAUGUGUGUGGUGAUGGAAAUGACAUUUCAACAGUUUAUUAUGAAAAUAAUGAAAAAUAGCUUCACCGAUUAACUUUGAAUUGAUACAAGCCUUUCAUGUAUACAAAACACUCUUAUUUACCGUCAUUUUGUUUCGGUUUUAGAUUUUUUUAAGUAGGUUUGAUUGUUAGUUUGACAAAGAAAGAGGAAUUUGAACAAAAUUGUAUACAUGUUGGGAUAUUUGAUCAAAGGACAUAAAAGUGCUCGUAGUUGAAGAACUACCCAGAUCCUGAAAACAGAGAUUUGACAGACACAGACGCUUCAGCUGAACACAUCACUACAUUAGGUCAUGUUUAACUUCAGUCACUGAUCAAAAUCAUGUCAAAGAUUAAAACCUGAUUCAAAUAAUCAUAAUAAUAGAGUCAACAAGAACAGAUUUUGAUCUUUCCUGGAACAGAUGAAGACAGAAAACGACUCGCUUCAACAGGAAGCAGAUCUGUGCUCACGAUGACCUCAGUUUACUCAAGCUUCGCUGUCAUUUGAAGAUCCCCAUAAAAACUGUGUAAUAUUUAGCAUUUGAUGAUAAGUCUCUAUUCAAUAAUAAUAAUUUUUUUAGUUUAGACCUCAAGACUUUCUGCUUCCUUUUACACAUUAAAAUGUUUCUGGUUGUCAGCAUCAGUGGAGGAAAAUACACAGAACUACAGCUGCGCCACAGGAAGGUGAAAUCUCAGUGCUUUACAUUUGCUGUGCUAAAGUUCAGGAAAAACAUCAACACAAACUUUCAAAUCAACACAUCUGCAAAGGUGUAAUUCAGAAAUAUCUCCACAGGAGGGCGACAUGUUUAAAUUCAUACUAUUAUGUUUGCAGUGGUGUCAUUCACCAAAAUCACCACACGAGGGCGAACAUUUAGAAUUCAUCAAUUUCGCAGUGGUGUAAUUCAGAAAUAUCUCCACAGGAGGGAGAAACUUUCCUUAUUUUAGAGCGGCAGCAGUGCAGUUCACAAAAAUCCCCACAAGAGGGCGAAUAUUUUAAAUUCAGUAGAUUCAAGAUUUGCAAAAGUGUAGUUCAGAGAAAUCUCCACAGGAGGGCGCAAUAUUUGAUACAUAUGUAAUAUUUGUCUAUUAGUCUAUUGUUAGAUCAGAUAUUCAGUGUGUAAUAAUGUGUUUAUUUGUGUGUUGACUCUACAGGAUCAGUGAAGUGUUGUGGACUGUCAGCCUGUUGAACAUAAGCAGAGACGUGUGGACAGACACUGACUGUACUGAUGACGAUCAUCUGCUGCUGCACAGGCUGUAAAGUAUAACCCCUGCUGGACACGGCUCCGGAAGCUCCAGGGGGAGACCGAACUGGUAUCCCCCCUUCUUCAGGCGCGCCUCACACUCACUCACCAUUCACACAUAUCGCAGAGUUCUGGCUGGCAUCGAACCAGCAACCCCUGAAACCGUGGGGCAGCGCUCUUACCACAGAGCCACAGAUCUCCUUGUCUGAACACUUGCUGGAACUGAUGUUGGACUGCUGACCUGUGUGUGAGCUGAUUCAAUAAAACAAGAAUAUAUGUCAGAUCUGAA